rnacentral:lncRNA from 1 species
UAAAAUGCAUCCACAUAAAUUAAAAGAUCAACAGUCAGCCAGUAAAAAACUGCAAAAUGCAACUUGGAAAUGAAAUAUUCAAUGCAAAAGAGAAGAAAUUGCAAAGCAGCACAUAAAUUAACAAUGCAUAACUUAAAUGAAAUUGAAAAAUCAUAACCCAUAUUCCGUGAUGAUAUGCAUUUGAAGACGCAAAUAAUGCA